ACCUGACCCGACCAUCCAGAUUAUACGUUGCACUACGGCAGGCAUAGCCAAGGGGUCUGGUGGCUCCUCCGUUAUGUAGGCACUGUUAUGGCACGAUUACUUACCUUUUGAAUGGUACGACGCGGUCGCGAAGCACUCUCCAAGUUGCCGGUGCUGCGUCGACGAUGUUACUCCCCGCAUACAUGCCGCUGCGUAGUGGACGAGCUGAGGCGCGCUAACACACAUUCUUUGCGACGUCCACCCAACUUUCCAGAACGAGAACAAAGAGACCGCACUCCACGGCAUAAAAUCGUUGGGCCACAUUUGCCUGGCGCGCCACGCAUACGGCGAGUUUGCAGCGUGACACAAGGUAUCUUCAGGCACUUCUGUGCACGCUAACUGCGACCUACUUCAUAACAGCAAACACAAAAACACACGAUCAAGCAAACGCGACGCUCGUAGCACCCCGCACAUACGACCGCCAUCACAGAACACGGAGGAAAAACAAUAGCGCCACCUGCAUACUUGUGAGAAUGUUGUGGCCUCUGUGAUGACAAAAAUAUUAACCAGUACACUCGCAUACUAAAAUUUUGUGCCGGGUUACACACAACUACGUAUAGAUGUUGCGAGACAAAAUAACUGUAGAACAAUCUAUAUUUUACACUAUAGUUUGGCGUAGAAAGAAAUUCUAAAACGUAUUUUACCUUUGAAUUGCUUCCGCCAUCUGCAGCCAGCAUAAGCAUGGCCUUCGAGAUCAGCUUCGAUUAUCCUUAUCAAGCCGUCGCUGUGGCCUGAUUUGAACGGUUUGGGCUGUCUCGAAGCUGUCUCGAAGCCAAUCCAUGACGUUUAGCGAUGCUGCCUACUUUUCCUACGCCGUCACUUAGUUUUAGAUAACUUUCUGAUGUCGUGAACAUGAAUUGUUGCCUCAGGAAUUGUUGACACGAUAUCGGAGGUACAGAUGUGCAGUGUUCGAUGUUUUCGUGUGCGUUGUAACUGUUUCAGGUGGAAAGGAUCAAAUCCACGAGGGUUGAUAGCUCGUGUGGCGCAGGUUACACCCGUAUCGUCCGCAUUUCCUUUCGUGUCGGUGUGUUGAAUGUGCGCGGGUUUUACUCCUGUCGUCCGUACCUUCUGUGUUUAUCGUGCGGCUCGCGAAGAUUCCUCCUAAAAAAAACAUGUCUGCUGCGUGCAUGUGUCCUGUGUGGUGUGUGAAACAAAUGUGCGCUGGUGUACGGUGUGUUUGCAGCCCUAUUGGUGGCUUAUAGUCCUUUGCUCUAGUGCCGUUUCUAUGAUGUAAACUAUACUUGAACUGAAAAAAAAUGCACUGUUUUUUAUAUGGACAAGUAGAUAUGAUCUGUGUGUAUCCACUGUGCAGUGUGCAUGUGUUCGUCAUUUUUAUGCAGCUCGUAUCAUGGGGCUUGUGCCUAUUCAUGAUGGCCCUUGCUUAAUGUUUCCACUUUUAGGGGCAUGUGGCGUGCAAGCAGUCACAAAGUCUUGUGCAUUUGGUGUGGAAGAAGGGAAUACUUUUAUGCGUAACUUUGUCUACUAUAGGUGAACCGUUGCAACAAUUAGCAUUUUUUCCAUGUGAAUGCUUCUGCCAUUUGAUAUAAUUUGUAGCAGAUCUUAUCUGUGGAGAAGCAUAAUAAACAUAAUUUAACAUGGUGUU